AGGCCAGUGAAGAGAAUACAACCAUGGCCCAACAAAACCAAACACGCAGGAUCUCUGGAUUCACGGUGUUCAGGGCGCAGAUCAACGUGCACGGCUGCUUUUAUUCAUUCAUUCAUUCAUUCAUCCAUUCAUUCAUUCAUUCAUUGAUGACCUCGACGCUCAGCGCUGGAACGUCAUGGCUGCUGUUUGAUUUCUCCACCGGAGCAACAACAACAACAGCUGACCGAGAUCUGCGCGGAGCAAAGCGGGCGAACGAGCGACUGCAAGCGCUGCCGUCGUCGCAAAACCCGGCAUGUGACGGGAUGGAGUAUUGGAGGAUGGAGACUUGGACUUCGUUCAUGAUACCAACUGCCGACGGGAAGAAACUGUUCCAGACGGUGACAGAGGAGCAAAGGAUGGACUCAACGUCCGUGCAGAAGUGCACCAUCAUUGCCUAUGGCAGGGUGUACAUCUUCUGCUGAGCCUUCUUGGUGAUCGGAGAAGGUGAGGCUGCGUUCCUUCGAAAAUCUGCUACCAUCUCCACUGAGAAGCUCUGAGCUCUAAAACAUUUUAACUGCACAACGUCACCAGUUGGUCAACCUUCGACCUGUAGAGGGAUUCGUCCCUACCAGAGAUGAGUAAACGGGAACUUCGCCCAAAGAGACGAAAGACCUGGAAUCUCUGUGUUAGCGUGUAAGGAACAGGAUCUUCUUUCUAAAAUCAGUCACCACAGAGGGGGAAACAUCCUUCUCUGGGGAUGCUUUUCUGCAGAGGGGACAGGCCGACUGCACUGUAUUGAGGGGAGGAUAGAUGGGACAGGCUGGGUCUUCCAGCAUGACAAUGACCCGUCUCCAGACCUGAACCCAAUAGAAAAUCUUUGGAGGGAGCUGAAAGUCUGUCAUGGCCCGGCGACAGCCCCAAAACCUGAAGGAUAUGGAGAAGGUCUGUAUGGAGGAGUGGGCCAAAAUCCCUGCUGCAGUGUGUGCAAAUCUGGUCAAGAACCACAGGAGACGUAUGAUGUUGGUAAUUGCAAAUAAAGCUCCCAAAUAUUAAGCAUGACUUUUUGUCAUGCAAUGAACCGCAUUUAUUCAUUUUAUACAAUACAAUGUGAUUUUCUUGAUUUUUGUUUUAGAUUCCGUCACUCAGAGUUGAAGAGUAAAUGAUGGACAGGUGACACCUUGCAGGUAGCUCCUAUCUUCAGUAUAUGAAUAGGUGUGAAUAAUGACAAAGAAAGAGUAACACAAGUACAAUCCAUUUAACAUCAUAUAUACAGUAUAUGAUAUAUGCUAUUGUAAAUGAUUUACAACCUGAACUAUUGAAUGUCUAUAAUGUAAUAAAUUACUUAAAGUGGA